GUUUGAGCCCUGCCCCAACUGGAGGCAGGAGCUGCCUUUUCUGAGCAGUUGAGAUGUACCUUAAGAUGAUCAGCACAGUCAACAGCAAUUCUUGCACACUUUUUGGCAUUCAUUAAAAAAAUUUCUUGAAGGUUUUUGAAAUUUGCCUUCUUUGUGAUGGCUCAUGAAGCGUAACUUCCACCCAAGCUCCCACAAGCACUUGGCAGCCUGGCAAGGACACCUAUGAAGUACCAAUGCUUUAGCCAUGUGAGCAGAAGAGAAAGAUGGAUUUCACUAGAAAGCUCCAAACAGGUGAACAGCUUCAAGAAGUUACUUGCUCACCACCAACAGGCAGUGCAGUUCCUCCUUAGACAGGAUUUCUUCUGUGGUUUUGAUACUGUGAGACUCCAGACUGAAAAAUAGGAGUGGGAGAGUAGUUUAGGUAAGUAGUUUUUCUGUCAAAACUGUUGUGUGUGUGGGUUUCUUGCUAUGAAAGCUCAAAAGAAACAAAGAUGGGGAUUUAGGUGUGCACAUUGUGAAGAACCUAUGUGUAUUUAUAAACCUGUGACAGUUAAAAUGUUGUAAAUAGCAGAGGGAUUGCUUAAUGUGGAAGGAAUGUGCUGAGCAAAGAACGUACAUCCAAGGAAGGGAAGAGUGAGAUCACUUAAGUGAUGUAAACAGUGACUGACCUGGGGCUGGGAAGGUUACAGACAGGAAUCUAUUUGGAAGAAAGGCAGAGAUUGUGGUUUCAGAGAUCUGAAAGCCAGGUGUAGGAUUGGUGGGAUUGGCAUCGUGUCAA
rnacentral:lncRNA from 1 species